AAUAGAUACCCGGGUAGUCCAUGCCGUAAACGAUGUCUACUAGCCGUUGGGGCCCUUGAGGCUUUAGUGGCGCAGCUAACGCGAUAAGUAGACCGCCUGGGGAGUACGGUCGCAAGACUAAAACUCAAAUGAAUUGACGGGGGGCCCGCACAAGCGGUGGAGCAUGUGGUUUAAUUCGAUGCAACGCGAAGAACCUUACCUGGCCUUGACAUACAGAGAACUUUCCAGAGAUGGAUUGGUGCCUUCGGGAACUCUGAUACAGGUGCUGCAUGGCUGUCGUCAGCUCGUGUCGUGAGAUGUUGGGUUAAGUCCCGCAACGAGCGCAACCCUUUUCCUUAUUUGCCAGCACUUCGGGUGGGAACUUUAAGGAUACUGCCAGUGACAAACUGGAGGAAGGCGGGGACGACGUCAAGUCAUCAUGGCCCUUACGGCCAGGGCUACACACGUGCUACAAUGGUCGGUACAAAGGGUUGCUACUGCGCGAGCAGAUGCUAAUCUCAAAAAGCCGAUCGUAGUCCGGAUCGCAGU
rnacentral:rRNA from 1 species